AAAGCUUGAAGCUCUGGAACUUCCUUUUGAUUCUGUCUGUCAUUGUGAAGAAACAUCUUGAAGAAUGAGAAGCCUGAUGUGUUUGCUGUUCGUGAUCUUCUGCUCUGUGCAGAUGACUUCAAGCGCUAACCUGGCAAUUGCAGUGGCAAACUCAAAGUGUUGUGGAGACUUCAGUAAAGUGAAGAUUCCUGUGAAUAAAGUCGUGUCUUACUAUCAGACCGACAGCAUCUGUGCCAGACGCGCUAUUGUGUUUAAGACAAUUGCCGGG